rnacentral:rRNA from 1 species
GACGAACGCUGGCGGCGUGCUUAACACAUGCAAGUCGAACGGGAUUUAGUAGACAGAAGCCUCGGCUAAAGAUUACUAAUGAGAGUGGCGAACGGGUGAGUAACGCGUGAGCAACCUGCCUAUGACAGUGGGAUAGCCUCGGGAAACCGGGAUUAAUACCGCAUAAAAUCGUAGAAACACAUGUUUCAACGGUCAAAGAUUUAUCGGUCAUAGAUGGGCUCGCGUCUGAUUAGCUAGUUGGUGAGAUAACAGCCCACCAAGGCGACGAUCAGUAGCCGGUCUGAGAGGAUGAACGGCCACAUUGGAACUGAGACACGGUCCAAACUCCUACGGGAGGCAGCAGUGGGGAAUAUUGCACAAUGGGGGAAACCCUGAUGCAGCGACGCCGCGUGAACGAAGAAGGUAUUCGUAUCGUAAAGUUCUGUCCUAUGGGAAGAUAAUGACAGUACCAUAGAAGAAAGCACCGGCUAAAUACGUG